AAAGCGUAACAAGGUUUCCGUAGGUGAACCUGCGGAAGGAUCAUUACCUAGAGUUUGUAGACUUCGGUCUGCUACCUCUUACCCAUGUCUUUUGAGUACCUUCGUUUCCUCGGCGGGUCCGCCCGCCGAUUGGACAACAUUCAAACCCUUUGCAGUUGCAAUCAGCGUCUGAAAAAACAUAAUAGUUACAACUUUCAACAACGGAUCUCUUGGUUCUGGCAUCGAUGAAGAACGCAGCGAAAUGCGAUAAGUAGUGUGAAUUGCAGAAUUCAGUGAAUCAUCGAAUCUUUGAACGCACAUUGCGCCCCUUGGUAUUCCAUGGGGCAUGCCUGUUCGAGCGUCAUUUGUACCUUCAAGCUCUGCUUGGUGUUGGGUGUUUGUCUCGCCUCUGCGUGUAGACUCGCCUUAAAACAAUUGGCAGCCGGCGUAUUGAUUUCGGAGCGCAGUACAUCUCGCGCUUUGCACUCAUAACGACGACGUCCAAAAGUACAUUUUUACACUCUGACCUCGGAUCAGUAGU
rnacentral:rRNA from 1 species